rnacentral:rRNA from 1 species
UUAAGCCGGAGGAAGGUGGGACGACGUCAAGUCAGCAUGACCUUUAUAUCCAGGGCUACACACACGCUACAAUGGUCAGUACAAUGGGUUGCCAAGCCGCGAGGCGGAGCCAAUCCUAAAAAGCUGGCCUCAGUUCAGAUUGCAGUCUGAAACUCGACUGCAUGAAGUCGGAGUUGCUAGUAAACGCAGGUCAGCUAUACUGCGUUGAAUACGUUCCCGGGGCCUU